ACUACAUUCGGACCGUCGGUCUACCGAGCAAUAACACCUGCUCGGUG
rnacentral:pre_miRNA from 1 species